AGCAAGUUACAUACCAGCAGAGCUCUAUGGACACCUCCUGAAGUGGCUUGAAACCAACUUUACACGUCGUAUCCCAAAAGACAAAAGCUGCCCCUACACCAGCUCACUGACCACUGUCUUGGAUGUGCACAAUGUGGACGACAAACUCAAAGAACUGACUCUGCAGUAUAUGUGGUAAUAUAUAUUCACAAUUUGUUUCUCUCAUGUCAAUUUUA